CACCUGCCCCUCCCAGCCUCUGCAUUCUCCACACCCCUUAGGCAUGGCUUCCUUCCUCCCCGCCCUCUGCCAGACCUGGCCAGUCAGCUGCUGGACCAGACAAGGGCCUAGCCCUUUCAGUGCCUGCAUCUUUGUCUGCAGCACCAGAAGCAGCCUGAUGCCCCAGAAGAAAAACCCCGACAGCUUGGAGCUGAUCUGGAGCAAAGCAAGGGUGUGUGUUUGGGCAGGGCGCUGGAAAAGGCAAUGCACCUGACCUCUGGGGAAGCUGAUCUGAGAGGCACGCGGGACGUCUUGGUGUGGGGAAUCUGUGUGGAGAUACGUCUGGAGACAGUGAGUCAUACUUCCUGACCUUAUAACCAUGCAGCUCAGCAGUCUCUGCGAGAGUCGGCUCCCUGCAAUUUGUGUUCCAGGAUCCAUGGAGCACGUAACACAUCCUGAUGCUGUUCUCAGCCUUCUAUGGCCUCUUGGUCACCGUUUCCUACCAUCUGAGCUGGCAGAGCAGUGACC